AGGGGAGGCCACCCCAGGCCCGGGCCAGGGCCGGUGGCCAUGGUUAGCGGGAAUAUCGGCUCAAUGUUGUGGCGGCCAAUGGGCGGGAUGCACGCGUGGCCGGGAAGGGAAGAGGGCGUGGUGACAGGUGUUAUGCCAUGCACUCCUAGGGCUCCAUGGCUGCUCUGGUCGGACACGGUUUUGGGGGCAUUCCCGUGAGAGCCUGUGCGUGGUAAGUAACAGGGGCGAGAGUAAUGGUAGGAUCAACGAGGCCUAGGCGAAGCAGGAGAUGCUGGCUUACAUCGAGCUGUUCUUGAAUGGCGGCCAUUCUGGUCUGAGGAAAUCCUCCCAUUUGCGGCAGCGUUUGGUAUGAUCCCUGUUGGAGAUCUGCGUCUUUACCAGUGGAUUCAUAGAACGCUACUCUUUGAAGGCGAGAGAAGAUGUACCUCGGUGAUUUUCACUUGAAAGUCGUCCAUUUUCAUCUUCACCCCGUCGAAGAUCCAAGCCCGAACUCGCAGUGACAAGCAAAGCAGCACCGGGACUCCUAGAGGCGCGGGGAUAUUAUGUUCUAAAAAGCACGCACGGAUUGAUUGGAGUCAAGUCAUGGACUCUGGAUAUUAACACGUAAGGAGGAAGGAACACCGUGACUUCAAUGGCUUUCCCACCUCUCGGUGACGGGUCGUAGAAGCAGAAGCCGUUCCACAGCUUCGUAGCGUGUCUAACAGUGGCUGGUUUCCCCCAUCCAAAGUCCAGACUAUACAUUGGAAAUCUUGGAGAGCUGCCAGAGAUUGGUAAACACAACAUUGGAGUUAUUUUGUUGUUCUUGAGUGUGCUUUGCAAAAGUCUAAUAUUUUCCUUUCAGAUCAUUACAUAGUUGUGAAAUUUAUAUAUAUCCAACUGUAGUCUACAUUUCUAUUCUGCAUAAAUUUCUAUACAAACUCAAUUAAAAUAUAUAUAUAUAUAAUCAAACCUAUAAUUGAAGUGA